rnacentral:rRNA from 1 species
GAAUGCCACGGUGAAUACGUUCCCGGGCCUUGUACACACCGCCCGUCACACCAUGGGAGUGGGCUGCACCAGAAGUAGAUAGCUUAACCUUCGGGAGGGCGUUUACCACGGUGUGGUUCAUGACUGGGGUGAAGUCGUAACAAGGUAGCCCUAGGGGAACCUGGGGCUGGAUCACCUCCUUACUGA